UACGUAGGUCCCGAGCGUUGUCCGGAUUUAUUGGGCGUAAAGCGAGCGCAGGUGGUUUAUUAAGUCUGGUGUAAAAGGCAGUGGCUCAACCAUUGUAUGCAUUGGAAACUGGUAGACUUGAGUGCAGGAGAGGAGAGUGGAAUUCCAUGUGUAGCGGUGAAAUGCGUAGAUAUAUGGAGGAACACCGGUGCCGAAAGCGGCUCUCUGGCCUGUAACUGACACUGAGGCUCGAAAGCGUGGGGAGCAAACAGG
rnacentral:rRNA from 1 species